rnacentral:rRNA from 1 species
GACGAACCGUGCGAACGUUGUUCGGAAUCACUGGGCUUAAAGGGCGCGUAGGCGGGCCGGACGGUCCGGGGUGAAAUCCCCCCGCUCAACGGGGGAACGGCCCCGGACACCGCCGGCCUCGAGGGGGGUAGGGGCGAGCGGAACGCUGGGUGGAGCGGUGAAAUGCUUAGAUAUGACACAGAACACCAAUUGCGAAGGCAGCUCGCUAAACUGUAACUGACGCUGAGGCACGAAAGCGUGGGGAUCAAACAGG